CAGCAGCCGCGGUAAAACGGAGGGGGCUAGCGUUGUUCGGAAUUACUGGGCGUAAAGCGCACGUAGGCGGCUUGACAAGUCUUGUGUGAAAUCUAUGGGCUCAACCCAUAGUCUGCACGGGAAACUGCCGGGCUUGAGUAUUGGAGAGGUGAGUGGAAUUUCCGGUGUAGCGGUGAAAUGCGUAGAUAUCGGAAGGAACACCUGUGGCGAAAGCGGCUCACUGGACAAUAACUGACGCUGAUGCACGAAAGCUAGGGGAGCAAACAGGAUUAGAUACCCGCGUAGUCCCUGUCUCUUAUAA
rnacentral:rRNA from 1 species